GCUACAUUCUCCCUCAUCUCCAGCAAAAAAAAGGGAGAAUGAGAUGAGGGAGAAUGUAGCAGUUACGCUAUUAACUAAAUAAAUCCCAAUAAAAUUUCAUCAAAUACCCCUAAAUAAAUUCCGUGUGCGACGCCGUCGAUCGACUUAAGAACGAUAUCUCUCUGCUCACGCGCGAAAACCUGGGCGGUCGAUUUUGUCGAUCCGGCCAUCGGGACUUCAGUUUUGGUCAAGACUCAGGGCGAACACGCUGUGUUUUUUUUCUUAAGUGGCGGAUUUGGACGAGAUUUGGAAUAAAAAUGGAGCAGAUAUAUCACUAAAAUGAAGGAACAUUAAGACCAUCUUUUUUGGAAUAGCGAUAAUAUCAAAACUCAAUUUAUCUUUGGUUUUUUUUACAUAAAAGAAGUUUAAGGCCAGCGUGUUUCGUCUGUCCAAAUUCCGCCACUUAGACACUUAGUGACUUAGUCACUUAGUUACGUCGUAACUUAGUCACUUUGCAUUCCUUUGCAUAAUUUAUGUCACUUGAAGUAUGUACCAGUAACUGUUAGCAACUUUGCCAUGGUUUACCCAUAGAGCUCGCUGUUUCGUUGGAGAAAACCAGUACCUGACUUCACAACAUUUAGGAUUUUUCAGUAGGACUUGCCCACCACAGCAUCCAACCAGUUUAUCGUGCCAAAAGGACUCUCCUAUGGACUUCAUCUUGAAUUCUUAAAUAGGAACUGUGGUGAAAGAUAAGUUUGUUUACUUUUAUUAUUUAUAUAUUUUGGGUACUCUAUAGUUGCUUGCACUGUAAACUGUUUGUAUGCAUACAAUCGAGUGGAACUAGGUACAUAUUUUCGUGACAGAUAGGGUUUUCAGGUCUUUGUUUUGUUCCAUAUUAUAAAUAGUAGUUUUUUCUAAUUAAGUAAGUCUUGUUUAAUAAUAAUCAUAAAUAAUUGUAGCUUAAAAUUUGAUAGGGAAUCGGGGGUAAAAUUUUGUCGAGCUUUUAAAAUAGGGAAUAUGUCUAGUGGGUUUUUACAUUGUAUAUUAAGAGUCUGACCAGCUCAUUUAUAUAAGUCAAUUGUAUAAUAAUUAGUAUUUUUGCUAGAUGAGAUACUUAAUUUUUGGUAACCGUAGCGUUCUUGUCGUGUACGUAUCUCACUAGACGAGUUCAAUUUAGGAAAUAUUACUAACUUUUAGUUGUAAGAACUUUGUGCUAUUCACACGGACUUUUUGCUUUUGGAUUUUCUACUAAUACAUUUACUUAGCGCAGUGUGUAGUGGUUAAUUGUAAGUUAGUGGCUGUUUGGUCCUGUUUGACCGUUUCACCACCCACUACCACUGUUAUUGUGUUUUGAUUUAUAUAUUACAUUGUCAAUAUAUGUAUAAUAGAGUUAUUGUUAAUAUAUUUGUUAUUAGAAA
rnacentral:lncRNA from 1 species